GUACACGCUGUGACUAGCAUAUCAAUAAGCGGAGGAAAAGAAACUAACAAGGAUUCCCCUAGUAACGGCGAGUGAAGCGGGAAGAGCUCAAAUUUGAAAUCUUAAAGGGUUUCCCUUUACGAAUUGUAGUUUAAAGAAGUGUUUUCUGUUGAGGUUUUGGUAAAAGUUCUUUGGAAUAGGACAUCAUAGAGGGUGAGAAUCCCGUAUUUGACCUUUACUUUCAACUUUGUGAUACACUUUCAAAGAGUCGGAUUGUUUGGGAAUGCAGUCCAAAAUGGGUGGUAAAUUUCAUCUAAAGCUAAAUAUUGGCGAGAGACCGAUAGCGAACAAGUACCGUGAGGGAAAGAUGAAAAGAACUUUGAAAAGAGAGUUAAACAGUACGUGAAAUUGUCAAAAGGGAAGCGUUUGACACCAGUGUUGUUUUUCUGAAAAUCAAUUAAAGAACUGUUUAUGCUAAGUUGUUUAGACUUUAUCAGCUAACUGUUUAGUUUUGAGCUUUUCUUUAAUGCACUUUUCAGUUAACAAGUCAACAUCAAUUUCUUUUGCUGUAAAAAAGCUUGAGGAAGGUGGCUUGAGAUUCGUCUUAAGUGUUUAUAGCCUCUUGCCUAUGCAGUCGGAGAGAUUGAGGUCUGCAGCGUAGAUCCUUCGGGGCUAAAUGCAUUUGUGCUAAGUUAUAGCAUUUAUAGACAACUUAUUGACUAUGAUUUGUCUUGUAGCUUACUCGCUUAUGUUAUUUUACCUACGCUUAGGAUGUUGACGCGCGUGUGUGCGUG
rnacentral:rRNA from 1 species